GGUCCUAAGGUAGCGAAAUUCCUUGUCGGGUAAGUUCCGACCUGCACGAAUGGCGUAAUGAUGGCCAGGCUGUCUCCACCCGAGACUCAGUGAAAUUGAACUCGCUGUGAAGAUGCAGUGUACCCGCGGCAAGACGGAAAGACCCCGUGAACCUUUACUAUAGCUUGACACUGAACAUUGAGCCUUGAUGUGUAGGAUAGGUGGGAGGCUUUGAAGUGUGGACGCCAGUCUGCAUGGAGCCGACCUUGAAAUACCACCCUUUAAUGUUUGAUGUUCUAACGUGGACCCGUGAUCCGGGUUGCGGACAGUGUCUGGUGGGUAGUUUGACUGGGGCGGUCUCCUCCUAAAGAGUAACGGAGGAGCACGAAGGUUGGCUAAUCCUGGUCGGACAUCAGGAGGUUAGUGCAAUGGCAUAAGCCAGCUUGACUGCGAGCGUGACGGCGCGAGCAGGUGCGAAAGCAGGUCAUAGUGAUCCGGUGGUUCUGAAUGGAAGGGCCAUCGCUCAACGGAUAAAAGGUACUCCGGGGAUAACAGGCUGAUACCGCCCAAGAGUUCAUAUCGACGGCGGUGUUUGGCACCUCGAUGUCGGCUCAUCACAUCCUGGGGCUGAAGUAGGUCCCAAGGGUAUGGCUGUUCGCCAUUUAAAGUGGUACGCGAGCUGGGUUUAGAACGUCGUGAGACAGUUCGGUCCCUAUCUGCCGUGGGCGCUGGAGAACUGAGGGGGGCUGCUCCUAGUACGAGAGGACCGGAGUGGACGCAUCACUGGUGUUCGGGUUGUCAUGCCAAUGGCACUGCCCGGUAGCUAAAUGCGGAAGAGAUAAGUGCUGAAAGCAUCUAAGCACGAAACUUGCCCCGAGAUGAGUUCUCCCUGAGACUUAGAGUCUCCUGAAGGAACGUUGAAGACGACGACGUUGAUAGGCCGGGUGUGUAAGCGCAGCGAUGCGUUGAGCUAACCGGUACUAAUGAACCGUGAGGCUUAACCUUACAACGCCGAAG
rnacentral:rRNA from 1 species